UACGUAGGUGGCAAGCGUUGUCCGGAAUUAUUGGGCGUAAAGCGCGCGCAGGCGGUCCUUUAAGUCUGAUGUGAAAGCCCACGGCUCAACCGUGGAGGGUCAUUGGAAACUGGGGGACUUGAGUACAGAAGAGAAGAGUGGAAUUCCACGUGUAGCGGUGAAAUUCGUAGAUAUCGGGAGGAACACCAGUGGCGAAGGCGGCGAUCUGGGAAGAUACUGACGCUGAGGUGCGAAAGCGUGGGGAGCAAACAGG
rnacentral:rRNA from 1 species